rnacentral:lncRNA from 1 species
GCCCUGGGGAAGCUCUUACUCAUUCAGAAGCAGCAGUUCAGCCGCGAGCCUGUAGUCUGGGGCCCUCCAAGGCGGGAUCUGGUAUAUGUACGUUUCCUUUUCCUUUUUUUAAAGAUUGGCACCUGAGCUAACAACUGUUGCCAAUCUUCCUUUUUUUUUUUUUCCUGCUUUUUCUCCCCAAAUCUCCCCGGUACAUAGUUGUAUAUUUUAGUUGUGGCAUGUGGGACACCGCCUCAGCAUGGCCUGAUGAGCGGUGCCAUGUCCGCACCCAGGAUCUGAACCGGUGAAACCCUGGGCCGCGGAAGCGGAGCGCGGGAUCUUAACCACUCAGCCACGGGUUGGCACCUGAUACAAUCAAAGAUAACCAGAUGUGUGGGGAGACGAGACUCCAUAGAGGAGAACGAGCAGACAGCCACAACCGACGGAGCCGUGGAGACCCCAGGUACUGCAAAGAGCGGGAACAGCCUUCGCACAACUGUCCUGACUAUGUUCAAGGAGGUAAAAGGCAAGCUUGAAAUUUUUGGCAGAGAACUGGAAAUUAUAAAAAAUGACAAAGCAGGGGCCAAGGGUUUUGUUGGUUCGGAUCCUGGGCAUGGACGUGGCCCCGCUCGCUCAUCAGGCCACGCUGAGGCAGCGUCCCACAUGCCAUGACUAUAGGACCCAAAACUAAAAACAUGCAACUAUGUACUGGGGGGCUUUGGGGAAGAAAAAGCAGAAAAAAAAAAAAGAUUGGCAACAGUUGUUAGCUCAGGUGCCAAUCUUUAAGAAAAAAGGAAAAAAUGACAAAGCAGAUUUUAAAAAGAACAACAUAAAAUUCUAUAAUUGAAAAAAUACGAUAAUUAAAAUUAAGAAUCUGGUGGAUGAGUUUCAGUUUAGACACAGCUGAAAUGAUAACAGUGAACUAGAAGAUGUAUCAGGAGAAGCUGUCCAGAAGGAAACACAGAGACACCGAAGGACGGAAAACGGGGAAGAGAGGGUGAGAGAAAUGGGGGUUAAAACAGUGAGAAUGUGGAACAUGCAUUUUACUGGAGACCCACAGUGAGAGCAGACAGAGGCUGUGAUACAAGCAGCAACGAAAUAAAUAAUUGCUGA